rnacentral:tRNA from 1 species
CUCCCCGUAGCUCAGCGGAAAAGAGCGCCAGCCUGCGAUGCUGGAGGUCGGCGGUUCGAGUCCGCCCGGGGAGGCCA